rnacentral:tRNA from 1 species
GGCAGUGUAGUGUAAUGGUUAGGGAGCUGGGCUUGUAACCUAACGGUUGCUGGUUCGAUUCCCACUGGUG